GAAGGAUAAAUAUUAUGUGGGUGCCAAAGUAAUUGUGGUUUUUGCAAUUAAAAGCAAUGGCAAAACCCACAAUUACUUUUGCACCAACCUAAUACAA
rnacentral:miRNA from 10 species